AGCGAGGAAUGAAACUGCAGCGACUCCAGACUCAGAUCAGUCGCUGUGGAUUUUGGCGGUUUUUAUUAUCGUCAUCCUUCUCAUCCUCACCUUGAUCUGUUUCUUGUGUCGGAAAAAGAAACUCAGAUGUUUUCAGAGCAUCUUUCAUCUCACUGAU